rnacentral:lncRNA from 1 species
AAUCCAUAUAAAUGCACCAAUUAUUGGGUAGGAACGUGCUAGAGUACCUCUCAAGUUACAAAUCGAUAUAGUAUAUGCUUCGGAUUGGCGAAUCAGCUCUGUUCACUUCUUUUCUUGGAACUGGAAAACAAGAAAAACAAAUAAAUUUUUUGAUGUUUUCAAGAGAGAGAUGCUCAAUGUUCAAUUUCUUCUAAGCUUGUUGAAGAUAUUAUUCGUUUAUAUCAGAAAGCUCAACCAAUUAUAACUCAGAGAGGCUGAAAAAAAA